AUGGCCUACUUCGAUGAGAAAGCGAAGGAAGAUCCAGAUUUCUUCUACAGGAUAAGGUUGGACGAUCAGGACCAUGUCAGGAACAUGUAUUGGGUGGAUGGUGCUGCAAGAAGAGCCUACAAACAAUUCCGAGAUUGCAUUUCAUUCGAAGCGACAUAUCUCACUAAUAUGUACAAGAUGCCAUGCACUCCAUUCAUAGGAAUAAAUAACCACAAUCAGUCAUUGCAGUUCAGAUGCGGGCUCGUUCAGAACAAAGACACGGAUGGGUACACUUGGUUGUUCAAGACCUUCUUGGAGUGCACGGAUGGACUUGCUCUGAUGAACAUAAUAACAGACCAGGAUUUUAGCAUGCAUGCAGGCAUAGAGGAGGUCUUUCUGUUGGCAGUGCACAGGCACUGCAGGUGGCACAUUAUAAAGAAGGCUGAGGAGACACUAGGACUGUUCUUUGCUGACCGUCCAGAGCUGCACAAGGCAUUCGAGCUGUGUGUGGACCACAGCUUGACGGUGGAGGAGUUUGAAAGGAGUUGGAUGGACAUCAUUGAAACAUAUCAAGUCCAAGACAACGAGACUCUUGCUAGCCCGUGGGAGAAGCAAAUGUACUGGGUGCCGGCCUACUUCAUGCAGUGCUUCUUCCCGUUUCUACAGACUACACAGCGCAGCAAGGUGUUCAAUGCUGUUUUGAAGCGGUAUGUGAGCCCUGACAACUCAUUGCUAUAG
rnacentral:rRNA from 1 species